UACGUAGGGUGCGAGCGUUGUCCGGAAUUACUGGGCGUAAAGAGCUCGUAGGUGGUUUGUCGCGUUGUCCGUGAAAACUCACAGCUCAACUGUGGGCGUGCGGGCGAUACGGGCAGACUGGAGUACUGUAGGGGAGACUGGAAUUCCUGGUGUAGCGGUGGAAUGCGCAGAUAUCAGGAGGAACACCCGUGGCGAAAGCGGCUCUCUGGAACGGUACUGACGCUGAGACGCGAAGGCCAGGGGAGCAAACGGG
rnacentral:rRNA from 1 species